UGUGAAGGCAUUUCUAUCUUGUGAGAAAAACUACUUCCUUGUGACUCACUUUAUUCUUCAAAUUUCCUUUUAUACCCCCAUAUUUCACCAAUUUACACACACAAUUAGCAAAAAUGAACCAUUUAUUCUCUUCUGUGCUCCUGGCAUCCUGUCUUCUUCUCAUGGGUCAUGGUGAUGCGAUACACAUAGUGAAACAUAGAGCAGAUACACUACAAAUCGCGGGUUCAAGAUUGCCAGACUGUCUACAUGCAUGCGGUUCAUGUUCACCCUGCCAUUUGGUUAGGGUGCGGUUUAUUUGUUCCGUGGGACCCGCCGAGGCCGAGACUUGUCCAAUUGCUUACAAGUGCAUGUGUAGCAACAAAACCUAUCAUGUUCCAUAGUCAACAAGACACACUACUCAUAUGAUACAACAAACCAAUCAAAUAUCUUGUAAUACAUAUGCAAAUUAUAUAAAAGUUUGAAUAUUUUAUGAAUCUUGGAUUUCUAGUGCC